rnacentral:rRNA from 1 species
AGUAACACGUGGAUAAUCUACCCGACAAUAUGGGAUAACAUUUCGAAAGGAAUGCUAAUACCUGAUAAGCCUACGCCCUCUUCGGAGGAAGUAGGAAAAGGUGGGGACCCUCGGGCCUGCCGUUGUUGGAUGAGUCCGCGGCCCAUUAGCUAGUUGGUAGGGUAAUGGCCUACCAAGGCUACGAUGGGUAGCUGGUCUGAGAGGAUGAUCAGCCACACUGGAACUGAGACACGGUCCAG